AAACUCAAAUGAAUUGACGGGACCCGCACAAGCAGCGGAGCGUGUGGUUUAAUUCGUUGCUACACGAAGAACCUUACCUGGGUUUGACAUAUAGGUUGUAGGGAACUGAAAAGGGACCGACCUUCGGGGAGCCUAUACAGGUGUUGCAUGGCUGUCGUCAGCUCGUGUCGUGAGAUGUUCGGUUAAGUCCGCUAACGAGCGCAACCCUCGUCGUAUGUUAUAUGUGUCAUACGAGACUGCCGGUAAAAAGCCGGAGGAAGGUGAGGAUGAUGUCAAGUCAGCAUGGCCUUUAUAUCCUGGGCUACACACACGCUACAAUGGCCAACACAAUAGGUUGCUAAGCCGCGAGGUGGCGCCAAUCCAUAAAGUUGGUCUCAGUUCAGAUUGUAGGCUGCAACCCGCCUGCAUGAAGAUGGAGUUGCUAGUAACCGCAGGUCAGCUAUACUGCGGUGAAUACGUUCCCGGGGCUU
rnacentral:rRNA from 1 species